rnacentral:rRNA from 1 species
AGCGAACGCUGGCGGCAGGCUUAACACAUGCAAGUCGAGCGGGCCUUCGGGUCAGCGGCAGACGGGUGAGUAACGCGUGGGAACGUGCCCUUCGGUUCGGAAUAACCCUGGGAAACUAGGGCUAAUACCGGAUACGCCCCUUGGGGGAAAGGUUUACUGCCGAAGGAUCGGCCCGCGUCUGAUUAGCUAGUUGGUGAGGUAACGGCUCACCAAGGCGACGAUCAGUAGCUGGUCUGAGAGGAUGAUCAGCCACACUGGGACUGAGACACGGCCCAG